rnacentral:lncRNA from 1 species
GUUACUAAGCCUACAUGCAUGCCUCAUUUUCAAUAUGGACAUCUAAAUUGACUGUGAUAUGAUGCUCAUGCUUCACAUGCCUAUGCCAAAAAUCUUUGCAGCCAAAAUAGCUUUUAUCAUUUCUACUAAAGAUCUAGAUCCGUAAGAAUAAGGAUUAUCAGAUACACAUAAAUCCAUAAGAAUCCAUGAGCAUUGUCAAGAACUCAUACAAGAAAAAUCCAUAAGAAUUAUCAAGAAUCCAUACAAGAAAAAUCCAUAAGAAUUACCAAGGCAAAUGGAGAGGCGUUGACCCUGUUGUCUUCUUCAAAGAUGAAGCAAUUAUUAAGAGCAUAAAGGCAUUUUAUGGUAUCAAUGAGCAUUUUCCAUUAGAUGGUCACCUUUUAACAAGAAACAGCGAUACAAGCAAUGUAAAAAGGAGAAUAAACUAGAAGCCAUGUUGUAUCUUUAUUGCUUCCCCACAGAAAUAAGAGAAACAAACUCCACAUUACUCAUUGUUGGUUAUAUAGCGGCUAUAACUUUUCGAACAAACUACUGAAAGAAUUGAAUGAUCAUUGAUUUAAGAAGAAUUAAAACCUACGGCAGUCGCUCCUUUAAACAUGCAAUAUUAAUUUCUUCAAAUACUAAAAAUGAAAAUAAAAAACCAAAAAUAGAUUGCUGCAUCUAGACAAGUCUACAUGAUUGCCUCAUUUUAGAGUUCACAAACACAGAUUUUCUAGAUCGACCAUUUUCAAUAUUGACAUUUAAAUUGAUGGUGAUAUGAUGCUCAAGCUUCACAUGCCUAUGUCAAAAAUCUUUGCAGCCAAAAUAGCUUUUAUCAUUUCUACUAAAGAUCCGUAAGAAUAAGAAUUAUCAAAUCCAUAAGAAUCCAUGAGCAUUGUCAAGAAUUCAUACAAGAAAAAUCCAUAAUAUAUAAGAAUCCAUAAGAAUUAUCAAGAACAUUAUCAAGAAUCCAUACAAGAAAAAUCCAUAAGAAUUACCAAGAGCGUCUAAACCAAAAUUCAUAAAAUUAAACAAGAACAAAAUCCUCGAGGUUAUCUCAAAAGCAAAGUUCUCACUUUCC